AAAAAAAAGGGCAGGUUUGAAUGGUGGGGCAUAUUUGUCAUGUUCUCUGUACAAUGAUAGAGGGAGAAGUAAUCGAGCUAGACCUUGACCAAUAUGGGACUAUGAGAGACAGAAUGGCCUAGAUGGGUGACUAAAGGUGUUCAGGGGAUGACAGGUAUCCCUUUUGGACUAAGGACUGCUGAUGGGGCUGAGUAGGUAAGGCUUGAAGGAGAGCAGCCUGGGGAGGAUGAGACAAGAGGUAGGGAAACUGGUAGGGGCAUCACUGCUGUGGUCUGACCCAGAGUGGUGGCCCUGGAGGAGUGGAGGGUGGCUGUCUGAGAUGGAGGAGAGGUGAAGGAAUCAGAACUAGUAGGUUCAUAGGGCACAUGGGUUAGAAAGGAAAAAUAUUAAAACAGUGAGGUUUCCAAGAUGGAAAUGGUAGCUUUGAUAGUAAAAUUAGACAAGUUGGAGGGCUACUAGCUAGAUUAGGCACUGAGCUGUAGGUGAA
rnacentral:lncRNA from 1 species